CCUACGGGAGGCAGCAGUGAGGAAUAUUGGUCAAUGGACGAGAGUCUGAACCAGCCAAGUAGCGUGAAGGAUGACUGCCCUAUGGGUUGUAAACUUCUUUUAUAUGGGAAUAAAACGUUCCACGUGUGGGAUUUUGUAUGUACCGUAUGAAUAAGGAUCGGCUAACUCCGUGCCAGCAGCCGCGGUAAUACGGAGGAUCCGAGCGUUAUCCGGAUUUAUUGGGUUUAAAGGGAGCGUAGGUGGAUUGUUAAGUCAGUUGUGAAAGUUUGCGGCUCAACCGUAAAAUUGCAGUUGAAACUGGCAGUCGUGAGUACAGUAGAGGUGGGCGGAAGUCGUGGUGUAGCGGUGAAAUGCUUAGAUAUCACGAAGAACUCCGAUUGCGAAGGCAGCUCACUGGACUGCAACUGACACUGAGGCUCGAAAGUGUGGGUAUCAAACAGGAUUAGAUACCCGUGUAGUC
rnacentral:rRNA from 1 species